GUGCCAGCAGCCGCGGUAAGACAGAGGUGGCGAGCGUUGUUCGGAUUUAUUGGGCGUAAAGAGCGCGUAGGCGGUCCUGUAAGUCGGUGGUGAAAUCCCGGGGCUUAACCCCGGAAUUGCCCUCGAUACUGCUGGACUUGAGUGCGGGAGAGGAUAGUGGAAUUCCUAGUGUAGAGGUGAAAUUCGUAGAUAUUAGGAAGAACACCAGUGGCGAAGGCAGCUAUCUGGACCGCAACUGACGCUGAGGCGCGAAAGCGUGGGGAGCAAACAGGAUUAGAAACCCCCGUAGUCC
rnacentral:rRNA from 1 species